rnacentral:rRNA from 1 species
AUUGAACGCUGGCGGCAGGCCUAACACAUGCAAGUCGAACGAGUGGCGGACGGGUGAGUAAUGUCUGGGAAACUGCCCGAUGGAGGGGGAUAACUACUGGAAACGGUGGCUAAUACCGCAUACUAUCGGAUGUACCCAGAUGGGAUUAGCUAGUAGGUGGGGUAAUGGCUCACCUAGGCGACGAUCCCUAGCUGGUCUGAGAGGAUGACCAGCCACACUGGGACUGAGACACGGCCCAGACUCCUACGGGAGGCAGCAGUGGGGAAUAUUGCACAAUGGGCGCAAGCCUGAUGCAGCCAUGCCGCGUGUAUGAAGAAGGCCUUCGGGUUGUAAAGUACUUUCAGCGGGGAGGCGUUACUCGCAGAAGAAGCACCGGCUAACUCCGUGCCAGCAGCCGCGGUAAUAC